rnacentral:rRNA from 1 species
CCUACGGGCGGCUGCAGUGGGGAAUAUUGGACAAUGGGGGGAACCCUGAUCCAGCCAUGCCGCGUGUGUGAAGAAGGCCCUCGGGUUGUAAAGCACUUUCAGUGAGGAAGAACGCCUGGUGGUUAAUACCCAUCAGGAAAGACAUCACUCACAGAAGAAGCACCGGCUAACUCCGUGCCAGCAGCCGCGGUAAUACGGAGGGUGCGAGCGUUAAUCGGAAUUACUGGGCGUAAAGCGCGCGUAGGUGGCUUGAUAAGCCGGUUGUGAAAGCCCCGGGCUCAACCUGGGAACGGCAUCCGGAACUGGCAAGCUAGAGUGCAGGAGAGGAAGGUAGAAUUCCCGGUGUAGCGGUGAAAUGCGUAGAGAUCGGGAGGAAUACCAGUGGCGAAGGCGGCCUUCUGGACUGACACUGACACUGAGGUGCGAAAGCGUGGGUAGCAAACAGGAUUAGAUACCCCUGUAGUC